rnacentral:rRNA from 1 species
GACGAACGCUGGCGGCGUGCUUAACACAUGCAAGUCGAACGGAAAGGCCCCUUUGGGGGUACUCGAGUGGCGAACGGGUGAGUAACACGUGAGUAACCUGCCCUUGACUUCGGGAUAACUUCAGGAAACUGGGGCUAAUACCGGAUAGGAAUCCUUGCUGCAUGGUGGGGGUUGGAAAGCUUCGGCGGUUUUGGAUGGACUCGCUGCUUAUCAGCUUGUUGGUGGGGUAGUGGCUUACCAAGGCUUUUACGGGUAGCCGGCCUGAGAGGGCGACCGGCCACAUUGGGACUGAGAUACGGCCCAGACUCCUACGGGAGGCAGCAGUGGGGAAUAUUGCACAAUGGGCGGAAGCCUGAUGCAGCAACGCCGCGUGCGGGAUGACGGCCUUCGGGUUGUAAACCGCUUUCAGCAGGGGCGAAGCUUGUGGUGACGGUACCUGCAGAAGAAGCACCGGCUAACUACGUG